UUUUUCCCUUUACAGCCAACGAAAACAUAACCCGCAGUUUACAAGGUGAAGUAGACUUAAUGACGCCACAAUAAACUUGCUGUCGCCUCCAAGUAGACUUUCUGGUGGCAUAAUAGACUUCCCGCCGCCAAACUUCAUUCUGUGCCUUCGAUGCGAAGCAGACUUACCGACGCCUCAAAAGGAAUUUUUGGCUCCAAUCGGGAUGAGGAGAGGCCAUGUACUGUUAUCUACGAGGGACAAGGAGAGGCCAUGUCAGCCCAGUUGGAAACUAGGGGCCUAGAUCGAAGUCAAAGUUAUGUAAAUUUGGCUUCUAACUACGCCUUCUAUGGCCAGAUGGUAGCUCAUCAAAAAUUCUUCCUACAUUAUGAGACACUCACUUGAAGAAAUUAUCACAGCUGGAGGAGACACUCAAAGUAGUUUAAAUGAGGAAUAGUCAGUUUUUGAAACGUUGAUUUUCUGAUGUGCAUAGGAGGUAGUUGUGUGAAAAAUACAACUUGGUGGUUUCUCAGCAAGCUCAUCCCCACCCAUCUCUCUCUUAACUACAAUUGAAAAGGACAAGAGGAGUAAAGCUUGAAUUUUUCCACUUUUGCGCUAAUCAACAAGUUGAUUUUUGAGAGGAAACCCCUAAAACAGUUACAUCAUUGGGAUUCCUGGCACAUGUCUUUAUGCAUGACUAAAAGUAGUACUUUUGACUGAAGGAAACAACUCCAUUGAGCAAGUGGUGUGGUCGUCAAAUUGUAGGAGUUGAAUAAUUUUAUUUUGGAUAAACAUUUUAUUUUAUUAUAUGUAAGAUACCAUGUUG